rnacentral:rRNA from 1 species
GAUGAACGCUGGCGGCGUGCCUAAUACAUGCAAGUCGAGCGAACAGACGAGGAGCUUGCUCCUCUGACGUUAGCGGCGGACGGGUGAGUAACACGUGGAUAACCUACCUAUAAGACUGGGAUAACUUCGGGAAACCGGAGCUAAUACCGGAUAAUAUAUUGAACCGCAUGGUUCAAUAGUGAAAGACGGUUUUGCUGUCACUUAUAGAUGGAUCCGCGCCGCAUUAGCUAGUUGGUAAGGUAACGGCUUACCAAGGCAACGAUGCGUAGCCGACCUGAGAGCGUGAUCGGCCACACUGGAACUGAGAAACGGUCCAGACUCCUACGGGCGGCAGCAGUAGGGAAUCUUCCGCAAUGGGCGAAAGCCUGACGGAGCAACGCCGCGUGAGUGAUGAAGGUCUUCGGAUCGUAAAACUCUGUUAUUAGGGAAGAACAAAUGUGUAAGUAACUAUGCACGUCUUGACGGUACCUAAUCAGAAAGCCACGGCUAACUACGUG